CUGCUGCCUCCCGUAGGAGUCUGGUCCGUGUCUCAGUACCAGUGUGGGGGACCUUCCUCUCAGAACCCCUACGCAUCGUCGUCUUGGUGGUCCGUUACACCGCCAACUAACUAAUGCGACGCAUGCCCAUCCGCCACCGGAAUCAACCUUUGGCACCAACAGGAUGUCCCGUCGAUGCAUUAUGCCGUAUUAGACGGAAUUUCUCCCGAUUAUCCGGCUGUGGCAGGCAGGUUGCAUACGUGUUACU
rnacentral:rRNA from 1 species